rnacentral:lncRNA from 1 species
GUUGAUGUAGUACAUGCCCGUAACCUGAAUAAGAAAACCCUAGACUUCUAGCGUUGUCGAAGGGUAUGAAUGGUGACGACGAGGAACAAAUACAUUCCCUAACAUUUUUUAAAAAAAUUACCAUUCAUAAGGAAUAAUUUUUUCUUCUCAUUCCCUACUAUUCCUUUUUUUGUAGAGAAAUAAAGAACAAAUUAAUUCCUUGUUAAAUGUGGGAUGGAACAACAAUUCCUUUUCAUUCCUACAAUUUUAUUCCUUUAUGUUCCUUUCCUAUUUGUUCCUCUUGUUUCCAGAAUGGUCACCAGUCG